AGGGUCUCUUGCUCUGUCACCCAGGCUGGAGUGGCAGUGUUGCGAUCUUGGCUCACUGCAACCUCUGCCUCCCAGGUUCAAGCGAUUCUCUGGCCUCAGCCUCCCAAGUAACUGGGACUACAGGUGUGCGUCACCAUGCCUGGCUAAUUUUAAAUUUUUGAUAGAGAUGGGGUCUCGCUAUGUUUCCCAGGCUGUAUUACUGUUUUUGAAUACAUAGGUCAGUGACAACAGGGAACUAGGUCUCACAGUGACCUGCUAUGGACUUCAGAGAUUCCUUGGCAAGGCAUUGUCAAAAAUAUAAGGUUCAUGUUGAAGUUGUCAUAAAAUUUUUAUGUAGCUGUAUAAAU
rnacentral:antisense_RNA from 1 species